rnacentral:rRNA from 1 species
AAUGAACGCUGGCGGCAGGCCUAAAACAUGCAAGUCGAACGCCCUAGCAAUAGGGAGUGGCGCACGGGUGAGUAACAUGUGGGAAUAUGCCUUUUGGUACGGAACAACGUUUGGAAACGAACGCUAAUACCGUAUGGUCCCUCCGGGGUAAAGAUUUAUCGCCAAAAGAUUAGCCCGCACUAGAUUAGCUAGUUGGUAAGGUAAUGGCUUACCAAGGCGACGAUCUAUAGCUGUUCUGAGAGGAAGAUCAGCCACACUGGGACUGAGACACGGCCCAGACUCCUACGGAGGGCAGCAGUUAGGAAUAUUGGACAAUGGGCGCAAGCCUGAUCCAGCCAUGCCGCGUGAGUGAUGAAGGCCUUCGGGUUGUAAAGCUCUUUAGCCGACGAAUAUAAUGACUGUAGUCGGAGAAUAAGCCCCGGCUAACUUCGUGCCAGCCGCCGCCGUAAGAC